GGAUCCAGACUUUGAUUAUGGCUCAGGAUGAACGCUAGCUACAGGCUUAACACAUGCAAGUCGAGGGGAAACGACAUCGAAAGCUUGCUUUUGAUGGGCGUCGACCGGCGCACGGGUGAGUAACGCGUAUCCAACCUGCCUAUCACUUGGGGAUAACCUUGCGAAAGUAAGACUAAUACCCAAUGACGUCCAUAGAAGACAUCUGAGAUGGAUUAAAGAUUUAUCGGUGAUGGAUGGGGAUGCGUCUGAUUAGCUUGUUGGCGGGGUAACGGCCCACCAAGGCGACGAUCAGUAGGGGUUCUGAGAGGAAGGUCCCCCACAUUGGAACUGAGACACGGUCCAAACUCCUACGGGAGGCAGCAGUGAGGAAUAUUGGUCAAUGGGCGAGAGCCUGAACCAGCCAAGUAGCGUGCAGGAUGACGGCCCUAUGGGUUGUAAACUGCUUUUAUAAGGGAAUAAAGUGAGCCUCGUGAGGCUUUUUGCAUGUACCUUAUGAAUAAGGACCGGCUAAUUCCGUGCCAGCAGCCGCGGUAAUACGGAAGGUCCGGGCGUUAUCCGGAUUUAUUGGGUUUAAAGGGAGCGUAGGCCGGAGAUUAAGUGUGUUGUGAAAUGUAGAUGCUCAACAUCUGCACUGCAGCGCGAACUGGUUUCCUUGAGUACGCACAAAGUGGGCGGAAUUCGUGGUGUAGCGGUGAAAUGCUUAGAUAUCACGAAGAACUCCGAUUGCGAAGGCAGCUCACUGGAGCGCAACUGACGCUGAAGCUCGAAAGUGCGGGUAUCGAACAGGAUUAGAUACCCUGGUAGUCCGCACGGUAAACGAUGGAUGCCCGCUGUUGGUCUGAAUAGGUCAGCGGCCAAGCGAAAGCAUUAAGCAUCCCACCUGGGGAGUACGCCGGCAACGGUGCAACUCAAAGGAAUUGACGG
rnacentral:rRNA from 1 species